CUUGAAUUAUCCUGAUCAGCAACUUGUACGUCAGCACAUUUGCCCCUUUUCUCUUAACGAUAUAAAGACCCACCGCAUACAGGGUACCUCAGCUGGCUCCAGGUACAGACCCGGUUAAUGUCCGCACUCGGUGGGUCUUUAUAUCGUUAAGAGAAAAGGGGCAAAUGUGCUGACGUACAAGUUGCUGAUCAGGAUAAUUCAAGAUUUCUCAGCCGUAUCCCAAAUAUUUCUGGUUGGUUUAUAUUUUGCUGUGUAAAGGUCAUUCAUUCUGGGUAAUGACCUGGGAGGCUGUUUCACUUGAAUAUUAAGAUAAGUAUAUUUCUUCACUUAUAUGUACUAUCCACUAAGUGGUGAUAUUUGAGUAUAUA